UAUCCCUUGAUAUUUUAUUUUAUUUUAUUAUUUAUUUUUUCCCUAAAAAUUAGUUUCUUUCCCCACAUGUAAUAUUCAUCAUCCUCCCCAAACAUAAUCUCAUUCUGAUUUUCGAACUCUACCCCCUCAUCCCUUACCUCUUGAUUUCGAAACCCAGAUCAAGGUGAACCUCCCUCUUUUCGCACAUUAGAGUAAAGCAAACAAUACUCAUCUUCUACCUCUGAUGCUCGCAAGAAAACACAGCAGACCCUUCCCUCCUUGUUUUCGAUUUUGAUAAAAAUGGAGUAGGUAUAACAUUUUUUUUUCUGUGUUCUCUUCUCUCUUGCUUUGGAUAUUCGAAGAACAAAACCUAUCUUUUUCCUCUGAUUUUCUGAAAAUAAUACACAAGAACAACAUUAGGUAUAGUUUCCCCUUCUUUUCUUUAAUUUUUGAGCACAUUUACUACAUUCAUCUUCAUGUUCCACUGAUUUCGAACCCUAACAACAACCAACAGCAGCGGGCUUCUUGCCUUAUUUGGAUCCGAAAAUCAGCAAUUAUCUUGUUACUUGGUCUUCAAUACCACACAUUACUGAAUCUCUUUUGCUCGGUUCUUGGCCCUCAAACAGGCGGCAACAGCCGCGUACAGCCCUCCUCAUUCCCGGAACCCGACCCUAUACAGCAGCAAUAACACCUUUAUGCCUGAGACAUUGAAUUAGUAGCCUACACUACCUGCCAGCUUUCGUUUUGGGUCGAAAGAAGAUGCUGGCAGCCUUCUGAUUAUGGAAUUCCUCCUACAUCUUUUCUGUUGCCUAAAAAGAAUUAGAAGAUGUUUGCAGAUCGGAACAUGUUGGGAACGAUGGGUUAGCGGUGAUGAUUAGAGUUACAGAGAUGUUAUAUUGAGCUGAGUACGUGAAAAGUGUAGUAUUGUAUUCGAUUUUUGAUAGAUGUAUAUUAGACUUGAUUGUGUUGGUUAUAUUGGACUUAUAGAGUGACUUUUAUGAUAACUUUGUAUUUUAGUUAGAUGUUCGAUUUGAGAAUUAGUUGAGUUAAUUACGUUAAAGAACUGGUGACUCCUUUGCUCAAGUUUUGAAAAUGUUAUAUAAGUUUCUUGGGAAACAGACCCCGUGAUGACCCUGUUUAUUUAGUUAACUGUAAGUCGGGUUGUUACAAUAACCUCCUUUAACAGUACGACGUUUGAGAAUGUGAAAGUAUGCUAAUUAUUAAAUGAGAAUAGUGUUAUGCUAAUGUCAAAUGAAUCCUAUAAAUAUAACAAUGAAAUUGUUCAUACGAUUAAUUGAAGAACACCUAAAAGGUCUAUCCAAUGUGUAUCAGUGUAUCACUAUUAAUAUCUAGGUGAACGACUAGACAUCUCUGUGUCCCUAUAUCCCAAGAAACUACGCUAUCUUUCAACUUACAAAUUAAUCCUUAGAAAAUUAUUUACAUUCAACUUAACGAUUCAAUCUAGGGACAAAUAGUACUUUAAAU